AACACCUAAAUCCCUCAUUCUCACCAUCUAGGUUCUCUCCCGAUCCACCAAAUCUGUUACCAGAAAAAGGAGCUCAGCAAAACCACACGACAACCUCUUCUUCUCUCACGAUACAGCCACCCACCCUCUUCCUCACGGCGUCGUUCUCCUCCACCGUCGUUCUCCUCUCAGGAUACAGCAAAAAAUGCUUAUCCCUACCCUAAUCAUGCCUCCUCUGCUUCUUUAUCUCUCUAAAACCUAGUCUCUCAUUCUCUCUAUCUCUCCAUCACAGUCUCUCGGCUCUCUCUCCUUCAUGCCUAUACUCUCUAGUUUGAAUGUAAAACCAUGACUAAUCCUACUGAAACAUUUUAUUCUCUCGUCACUCUCUUCCGUUGAGUUGUUGUAGCACUAUUGACGAUGCCCCUGUUGAAGCAAGAAUCCAAGCAACCCAGCUGCUCAAGAAGCCGUACUUCUCUGUGCUGCUUAGAGAUCCAUUCGAUGACAAUGUAAUCCCCAUUGUAGAGGAACUUCAAAGAUGUUUACCUUUAACAAGAGCCAGUCCUAAAGGCCAUGGUGAAGAAGAAGAGAAAGCCUCAGGGGUACGAGAUAAAACUGAAACCAGCGAAGAAAAUGAGUUUCCAUUCGAAUUCUGGGCCUUAGAAGUUGCACUAGAAGCUAUUUGUAGUUGUCUUGAUGCUCGCACAAGAGAAUUGGAAGGUGAUGCUUAUUCAACUUUAGAUGAGCUGACCUCCAAGGUAACAGAAAGUAGUUGUUUUGCCAAAACAUAAGAAGUUAAAUAUAAGUGACCAUAAUUUAUGUGCCAUUUUGAAAGGUUUUUA